rnacentral:rRNA from 1 species
CUUUUGGAGCGGCCGAUGUCUGAUUAGCUAGUUGGUGAGGUAAUGGCUUACCAAGGCGACGAUCAGUAGUUGGUCUGAGAGGACGACCAGCCACACUGGGACUGAGACACGGCCCAGACUCCUACGGGAGGCAGCAGUGGGGAAUUUUGGACAAUGGGCGCAAGCCUGAUCCAGCAAUGCCGCGUGAGUGAAGAAGGCCUUCGGGUUGUAAAGCUCUUUCAGUCGAAAAGAAAAGAUUGGGUCUAAUAAUCUUUAUUCAUGACGGUAUCGGCAGAAGAAGCACCGGCUAACUACGUGCCAGCAGCCGCGGUAAUACGUAGGGUGCAAGCGUUAAUCGGAAUUACUGGGCGUAAAGGGUGCGCAGGCGGUUCUGUAAGUCAGAUGUGAAAUCCCCGGGCUUAACCUGGGAAUUGCGUUUGAAACUACAAAGCUAGA